GACAGAGGUGCCAAGCGUUAGGCGGAAUCACUGGGCUUAAAGCGUGUGUAGGCGGCCCGGUAAGUCCGCUGUGAAAGUCGGGGGCUCAACCCUCGAAUGCCGGUGGAUACUGUCGGGCUAGAGUGCGGAAGAGGCGAGUGGAAUUCCUGGUGUAGCGGUGAAAUGCGCAGAUAUCAGGAGGAACACCAAUUGCGAAGGCAGCUCGCUGGGACGUAACUGACGCUGAGACGCGAAAGCGUGGGGAGCAAACAGG
rnacentral:rRNA from 1 species